UUCAGCUAGGCCAGCCCGGAG
rnacentral:misc_RNA from 1 species